GACGAACCGUGCGAACGUUAUUCGGAAUCAUUGGGCUUAAAGCGCGUGUAGGCGGAUUCGUGCGUCUGUCGCUGAAAUCCCCCGGCUCAACCGGGGAAGUGGCGUGGAUACGACGAGUCUGGAGGGGCAUAGGGGGACCUGGAACUUCCGGUGGAGCGGUGAAAUGCGUUGAGAUCGGAAGGAACGCCCGUGGCGAAAGCGAGGUCCUGGAUGCUUACUGACGCUGAGACGCGAAAGCUAGGGGAGCAAACAGG
rnacentral:rRNA from 1 species